AUGGGAAGUGGAGUCUGCGGCGGGCAGCGGCCGAGGGCCCUGAGCUCUCAGUCUCGAAGGCUGAGGAACGCCGGUUUUCGCGAUCGGAAGGACCCCGGCACCCUGUCCUCCGCAGUGGUGUCGCUCUCGACACGCCUCAGACAGCCGUUGAUAGUUCCGCAAACAGUUCUUUCCCUUUGCAAGUGAAACCUUAAUAUUAAAAGAACAUUCUAGCCGGGCGCAGUGGCUCACGCCUGUAAUCCCAGCACUUUGGGAGGCCGAGGCGGGCAGAUCACCUGAGGUCAGGAGUUCGAGACCAGCCUGACCAACAUGGAGAAACCCUGUCUAUAUUGAAAAUACAAAAAUUAGCCGGGCGUGGUGGCACAUGCCUGUAAUCCCAGCUACUCGGGAGGCUGAGGGAGGAGAAUGGCUUGAACCCGGGAGGCGGAGGUUGCGUUACUUAAGGCCAUCUGGAUGUAUACGUGCAGGUCACAGGGGAUAUGAUGGCUUAGCUUCGGCUCAGAGGCCUGACAAGGAGUUCAAGACCAGCCUGGCCAACAUGAUGAUUUGAUGUGCCACCGAGACCUCCUGUCCGCCUUGCAGGAUUGAUGGAUUGCUGCAGAUCAGCUCUCUCCUAUAAGUAUAUCUAGUUGAAGACAGCUUCAUUGCCUAAGGCCAGUCCUCCCCUUGUGGGCAUCCAGCAUUCAAUGCCUGGUUGAGAUGAUGAUUCUCAGAACACUCCCUAAUCAACUUCCUCCCUGUUCAUCUCAGUGUCACACUUUGCUCCCUAGGAACAAAACCUAUGACAACAUCUUUUAGGUUUUCACUCAGUGCUGCCACCCCCUCAGAGAGUCCUUCCCUGGUUCCCUAUCAAGGAUUGCAACCUUCACCCCAUGUUCUCAAUAGUACUUCCCUGUUUACUUUUCCCUUUACCACCUGUCAUCUAGCAGCAUCUCUGUGUUAUUCAUCUUUCCUGUCCAUUGUCUUUCCCCCUCUCCGAGCAUGUUCUGAACUUCAGGAAGACAGGGAUUCUUUUUUUUUAAUUUUUGUUUUUAGAUAUAGGGUCUUGCUCUGUCACCCAAUAGCGCACUGCACCUCAAACUCCUAGACUCCAGUGAUCGUCCUGCCUCAGCCUCCUGAGUAGUUGGGAUUACAAACAUGAGACACCACACCUAGCAAAGACAGGGAUUCCUGCUUAUUUAGUGUUGCAUCUCCAUCAUCUGGAAUAAUGGCUGGCAUGUAAAUGUUGCCAGAUACAUGACUGUUAAAUGAACACUGCAUGAAAAAGUGGGAGGGUUUUAGGGAAGAUAGUUGUGUUUGAUCAGCAGGGUGUUGGAGGGGGAUGGAAAGAGAAGCAGCUGAUAAAAAGUGUAGGCUUGCUAAUAAGGAGGUGCCUAGGUUUGCUCACUGAAGAAAUAAUUUGGGAUGUAGGAGAUGAGAGAGGAAAGAGAGGCAGAUGAACUGGGAAAAUUUAGGGGGUGAAGGAGAAAGAGGAUGAGAAGAGGAGAUGAGUGGCUACAGUGAGAUUCUGGACUUUGGGGACAGAGAGAUGAGAAUAAAGAAUUUUUAGGUUCUGACCAGGCUUGGUGGCUCACACCUGUAAUCCCAGCAAUUUGAGAGGUCAAGGCAGGUGGAUCACUUGAGCCCAGGAGUUCGAGACCAGCCUGGGCAACAUAGUGAGACCCCCGUCUCUACAAAAAAAUAAAAAAAUUAGCUGGACAUGGUGGUGGGCACCUGUAACCCCACCUACUUGGGAGGCUGAGUUGGGAGGAUCGCUUGAGCCCAGGAAGUCGAGGCUGCAGUGAGUUAAGUGAUCAUGCCACUGGGCCGGGUGCAGUGGCUCAUGCCUGUAAUCCCAGCACUUUGGGAGGCAGAGGCGGGCAGAUCAUUUGAGGUCAGGAGUUCAAGACCAGCCUGCCAACAUGGUGAAAUCCUGUCUCUACUAAAAAGACAAAAAAAUUGAGCCAGAUGUGGUGGCAUGCGGCUGAAAUUCCAGCUAGUCAGGAGGCUGAAGUGGGAGAAUUGCUAGAGCCCAGGAGGCAGAGGUUGCAGUGAGCUGAGAUCAUGCCACUGCACUCCAGCCUGGGUGACAGAGUGAAACCCUGUUUAAAAAAAAAAAAAAAGAUCAUGCCACUGCACUCCAGCCUGGGGGAUAGAGUGAGACCUUGUCUCAAACAAACAAACAAACAAAAGAAAAUCUUCAGCAAAACACCUAUAGUGAUAGAGCACACUCAUGUAGUGGUUAUGCUUGAAAACUUUAUGAUAGAUUGCUUGGGUCCCAAUCUCAGCUCCAGAACUUACUUCCAUGUGCCAUAGUUAGCUCAUCUGCAAAAUGAGGCUAAUACUAGUAUCUACCUCAUGUGGCUAUCUUUUUUUUUUUUUUUGAUGGAGUCUCGCUCUGUCACCCAGGCUGGACUGCAAUGGUGUGAUCUUGGCCUACUGCAACCUCUGCCUCCUGGGUUCAAGUGAUUCUCUUGCC